rnacentral:rRNA from 1 species
GAACGAUCAUGUCCAGAUUGAACGCUGGCGGGAUGCUUUACACAUGCAAGUCGAACGGCAGCACGGACUUCGGUCUGGUGGCGAGUGGCGAACAGGUGAGUAAUGUAUCGGAACGUGCCUAGUAGCGGGGGAUAGCAUGAAAGCGUAGCUAAUACCGCCGCCCUUCGAGGAAAGCGGGGGACCUUCGGGCCUCGCACUAUUAGAGCAGCCGAUAUCGGAUUAGCUAGUUGGUGGGGUAACGGCUCGCAAGGCGACGAUCCGUAGCUGGUUUGAGAGGACGACAGCACACUGGUUUGGACGGCCAGGCUCCGGAGCAGCAGUGGGGAAUUUUGGACAAUGGGGGAAACCCUGAUCCAGCCCAUCCCACGUGUGCGAUGAAGGCCCCUUCGGGUUGUAAAGCACUUUUGGCGGGAAAACAGCUGGGAUAAUACCCCGUGCAACUGACGGUACCUGCAGAAUAAGCACCGGCUAACUACGUGCCAGCAGCCGCGGUAAUACGUAGGGUGCAAGCGUUAAUCGGAAUUACUGGGCGUAAAGCGUGCGCAGGCGGUUCGGAAGAAGAUGUGAAAUCAGAGCUUAACUUUGGAGACUGCAUUUUAACUACCGAGCUAGGUAUGUCAGGGAGGUGGAAUUCCGCGUGUAGCAGUGAAAUGCGUGAAUGCGGAGGAACACCGAUGGCGAAGGCAGCCUCCUGGGAUAACACUGACGCUCAUGCACGAAAGCGUGGGAGCAAACGGGAUUAGAUACCCUGGUAGUCCGCCUAAACGAUGUCAACUAGCUGUUGGGGCCUUCGGGCCUUGGUAGCGCAACUAACGCGUGAAGUUGACCGCCUGCAAGAUGCGGUCGCAAGAUUAAAACUCAAAGGAAUUGACGGGGACCCGCACAAGCGGUGGAUGAUGUGGAUUAAUUCGAUGCAACGCGAAAAACCUUACCUACCCUUGACAUGUCUGAAUCCCGAAGAGAUUUGGGAGUGCUCGCAAGAGAACCGGAACACAGGUGCUGCAUGGCUGUCGAUGGCUCGUGUCGUGAGAUGUUGGGUUAAGUCCCGCAACGAAGGCGCAACCCUUGUCAUUAGUUGCUACGAAGGGCACUCUAAUGAGACUGCCGGUGACAAACCGGAGGAAGGUGGGGAUGACGUCAAGUCCUCAUGGCCCUUAUGGGUGAGACUUCACGUCAUACAAUGGUCGGGACAGAGGGUCGCCAACCCGCGAGGGGGAGCCAAUCCCAGAAACCCGAUCGUAGUCCGGAUCGCAGUCUGCAACUCAUGCGUGAAGUCGGAAUCGCUAGUAAUCGCGGAUCAGCAUGUCGCGGUGAAUACGUUCCCGGGUCUUGUACACACCGCCCGUCACACCAUAGGAGUGCGUUUUACCAGAAGUAGUUAGCCUAACCGUAAGGAGGGCGAUUACGGUAGGAUUCAUGACUGAGGUGAAGUCGUAACAAGGUAA